UAGAGAGAGGCAUGCGUAGCCAAGUGAACAUAUGGGUCCAGUGAUUGGUUGGGCUGACUGGGGACACGGCGAUUCAGACAGUUAGCAGGUCGAUGCUAACAGUUAGUAGGCCGGGGUUAAACAAGCUAGCAAUUAGCAGACUGGGGCUGGCAAGCUAGCAGUUAGCAUACCGGGUUAGCAAGUUAGCCUUUGGGGGAAGUCGCGAUGGGGGUAAGUCUGUUUUUGCCUCUUCGUGCGGUGACGUCGAUAGACCAGUCGUGGAAUUAGUAGGGUUCCAAGUAGCUCUAGAUAGCUAGCAGGCCGGUUAGCAGAAUGGGCCUUCAGUGGACGUCGCGCCUGAGGGGCCUGUUGGAAUCAAAUGGUUGAUUAAACAUGGCUGACUGAGAUAUGGAGGAGGUAUGGAGGAGGAGGUACGGAGGAGAUAUGGAGGAGGAGGUACGGAGGAGAUAUGGAGGAGAUAUGGAGGAGGAGGUACAGAUGAGGAGGAGGUAUGGAGGAGGUACGGAGGAGAUAUGGAGGAGAUAUGGAGGAGGAGGUACAGAUGAGGAGGAGGUAUGGAGGAGGUACGGAGGAGGUAUAGAGAAGAUAUGGAGGAGGUACAGAGGAGAUAUGGAGAUAUGGAGGAGGUAUGGAGGGGGUACAGAGGAGAUACGGAGGAGAUAUGGAGGAGGUACAGAGGAGAUACGGAGGAGGAGGAGGUAUGGAGGAGGCGGAGGUAUGGAGGAGAUAUGGAGGAGGAGAUAUGGAGGAGGAGGUACGGAGGAGGUAAAGAGAAGAUAUGGAGGAGGAGGUACAGAUGAGGAGGAGGUAUGGAGGAGGUAUGGAGGAGAUACAGAGAAGAUAUGGAGGAGGAGGUACAGAGGAGGUGGUAUGGAGGAGAUAUGGAGGAGGAGGUACGGAGGAGAUAUGGAGGAGAUAUGGAGGAGGAGGUACAGAUGAGGAGGAGGUAUGGAGGAGGUACGGAGGAGAUAUGGAGGAGAUAUGGAGGAGGAGGUACAGAUGAGGAGGAGAUAUGGAGGAGGAGGUACGGAGGAGAUAUGGAGGAGAUAUGGAGGAGGAGGUACAGAUGAGGAGGAGGUAUGGAGGAGGUACGGAGGAGGUAUAGAGAAGAUAUGGAGGAGGUACAGAGGAGAUAUGGAGAUAUGGAGGAGGUAUGGAGGGGGUACAGAGGAGAUACGGAGGAGAUAUGGAGGAGGUACAGAGGAGAUACGGAGGAGGAGGAGGUAUGGAGGAGGCGGAGGUAUGGAGGAGAUAUGGAGGAGGAGAUAUGGAGGAGGAGGUACGGAGGAGGUACAGAGAAGAUAUGGAGGAGGAGGUACAGAUGAGGAGGAGGUAUGGAGGAGGUAUGGAGGAGAUACAGAGAAGAUAUGGAGGAGGAGGUACAGAGGAGGAGGUAUGGAGGAGAUAUGGAGGAGGAGGUACGGAGGAGAUAUGGAGGAGAUAUGGAGGAGAUAUGGAGGAGAUACGGAGGAGGUAUGGAAGAGGAGAGAUGGAGGAGGAGGUAUGGAAGAGGAGGAGGAGGUAUAGAGGAGGUAUGGAGGAGGAGAUACGGAGGAGAUAUGGAGGAGGAGGUAUGGAGGAGGAGGAGGUAUGGAGGAGGUACGAGGAGAAAUGGAGGAGGAGAGAUGGAGGAGGAGGAGGUAUAGAGGAGGAGGUACGGAGGAAAUACAAAGGAGUAGGAGGUAUGGAGGAGGUACAGAGGAGAAAUGGAGGCGGAGGUAUGGAGGAGGUACAGAGAAGAUAUGGAGGAGGAGAUAUGGAGGUACAGAGAAGGAGGAGGUAUGGAGGAGGUACAGAGGAGGAGGAGGUAUGGAGGAGGUACGGAGGAGGAGGAGGUAUGGAGGAGGUACAGAGGAGGAGGAGGUGUGGAGGAGGUACGGAGGAGAAAUGGAGGAGGAGGUAUGGAGGAGGUAUGGAGGAGGAGGUACGGAGGAGGUACAGAGGAGGAGGAGGUAUGGAGGAGGAGGUAUGGAGGAGGAGGUAUGGAGGAGGAGGAUGCAUGGAGGAGGUGCAGAGGAGGAGGAGGUAUAGAGGAGGUAUGGAGGAGAAAUGGAGGAGGAGGUACAGAGAAGAUAUGGAGGAGGAGAUAUGGAGGAGUAUGGAGGAGGUACAGAGAAGGAGGAGGUAUGGAGGAGGUACAGAUGAGGAGGAGGUAUGAAGGAGGUAUGGAGGAGGUAUGGAGGAGGUACAGAGAAGAUAUAGAGGAGGAGAUAUGGAGGAGGUAUGGAGGAGAUAUAGAGGAGAUAUAGAGGAGGAGAUAUGGAGGAGGUAUGGAGGAGAUAUAGAGGAGAUAUAGAGGAGGAGGUACGGGGGAGGUAGAGGAGGAGGAGGAAUGGAGGAGAAGAUAUGGAGGAGGAGGUAUGGAGGAGAUAUAGAGGAGGAGGUACGGAGGAGGAGGUACAGAGGAGGAGUUAUGGAGGAGGUAUGGAGGCGAUAUAGAGGAGGAGGUAUGGAGGAGAUAAAGAGGAGAUAUGGAGGAGGUAUGGAGGAGAUAAAGAGGAGAUAUGGAGGAGGUAAAGAGGAGAUAUGGAGGAGGUAAAGAGGAGAUAUGGAUGAGGUAAGGAGGAGGUAUGGAGGAGGUAAAGAGGAGGUAUGGAGGAGGAGGUAUGGAGGAGGAGGUAUGGAGGAGAUAAGGAGGAGAUAUGGAGGAGGUAAAGAGGAGAUAUGGAGGAGGUAUGGAGGAGGAGGUAGGGAGGAGGUAGGGAGGAGGAGACAUAGAGGUUUGGAGGAGGUUUGGAGGAGAUAUGGAGGAGGAGGUACGGAGGAGGUACAGAGGAGGAGAAAUGGACGAGGAGAAAUGAGGAGGAGGUAUGGAGGAGGUACGGAGGAGAAAUGGAGGAGGAGAUACGGAGGAGGUAUGGAGGAGGUACGGAGGAGAUAGGGAGGAGACAUAGAGGAGGUUUGGAGGAGGAGAUACGGAGGAGGAGGUACGGAGGAGGAAUGGAGGAGGUACGGAGGAGGAAGGUCAUGGCUGGUCAUGGCUCACAUCAACACCAUCAUGCCGGAAACCCUAGAUCCACUCCAAUUCGCAUACCACCCAAACAGAUCCACAGAUGAUGCAAUGUCUACUGCACUCCCCACUGCCCUUUCCCACCUGGACAAAAGGAACAUCUAUGUGAGAAUGCUGUUCAUUGACUACAGCUCAGCGUUCAACACCAUAGUGCCCUCCAAACUCAUCACUAAGCUAAGGACCCUGGGACUAAACACCUCCCUCUGCAACUGGAACCUGGACUUCCUGACGGGCCGCCCCCAGGUGGUGAGCUAGCUAGCAGAACAGGUACCACUCCUCCUCCUCCUCCUCCUCCAUAAACACAGAGGGGUGGUGAGGAGAGGACCAGCUAGCUAGCAGAACAGGUACCACUCCUCCUCCUCCUCCUCCAUAAACACAGAGGGGUGGUGAGGAGAGGACCAGCUAGCUAGCAGAACAGGUACCACUCCUCCUCCUCCUCCUCCUCCAUAAACACAGAGGGGUGGUGAGGAGAGGACCAGCUAGCUAGCAGAACAGGUACCACUCCUCCUCCUCCUCCUCCAUAAACACAGAGGGGUGGUGAGGAGAGGACCAGCUAGCUAGCAGAAC
rnacentral:lncRNA from 1 species